GCAUUAAUGGGGUAGUGGUAACCUGGAUCGUUGCCAUGUAGCCUGAGUCUUGUAGGAAAAUAACUGUUCUCGAUCCGCUGGGAGUUCGAUUCUCUCUUAAUGCA